ACAGUACUCUAUCUUCAACCUCCAGACAGAGACCGAGCCGUCCCAAGCCUGUGCAGCCGUGCCGCCUCCUCCCACCAAUCCGGCCACCUCGUUGCUCCUUUUUCCAAAUUAGUUGCGGGAAUGGAAUCCUCUCAAUCUCCUAUUCCUUUUCCGCAAGAAAUACCCAAAAGUUUCUAUGGAAAUCCUUUCCAAUUUCGCGGUUCAAUCUUUCCUUACUCCGGCGAGAACCCUAGACUUUCCCGAGUUUUCCCGUCGAUUUGGGCUCGGACCCGAGCUCCCGUGCCUAUAUAAAGGACCCCUUAGUCGUCCUCUACCUAUCCCCCCAUGUCUCAUCUUCCGCCGUCGUCGGAAUCGCCCUCCCCGCGAGCUCCUUCUCUCUCCGCCGCCGGUAGCCGUUCCAGCCGCCGUGCGCCGUCGCCUCGGCCGUCGCCGAUCAGCGCCACCACCUCCCUCGGCUCCGCAAAGUACAGCUCUAUCCCGGCCGCUGGUUCUUUUGCGCCAAAUCCAACCGGAGAUUGGCCGUCAUCGUGAACCGGAGCGCCGCCGUCGCCGCCGUGCCUCCAGCCGCGCCGUUCGUCGUCGUCCGUCGUCGCCUUCGGUCGCCGUCGUCUCCAUUGGAUUCGCAGCUGCGAGGAGAAGCCCGUCCGCCAUCUGUCAUCCGCCGAAAAUCGCCAGAAAGUCGUCGCUGGCCAACUCCUUCGCUUCAUCGCUGCGUAAGUGUUGCAUCGUCGUCGUCUCCAUGUGUUACCGCUGGGUCACCGUCGUCAUCUCUCUCUCUGAUCGCUUUGGUUCGUUUGUCGUUUCCGUCGUUUUCGGAGGAUCGUGAGUGCGUCGGAAGUGUUCAAGAAGAUUAAUUGAAUUGAAGACCCUUUAUUGCAAGGAAAGUCACACAGAUCCCAAACACAAUUCCUUUGAGCAUGUUGAUCCUAUAUUUAAAUUCUCUAUUUAUUUCAACUAUGCAUUUAUUUUUGGAAUGUCACCGGGUGGUGUGAACCUAUUCCUUUGUUAUGCCCACUUUGCAUUGCUUACUCUAUUCUUUGAUACCUUGGGUGACAAUUUGACUAGUUGGACUUAUAUAUUGGUUCAGCUAGAUAUUAGAUAUAAUUGCUUAGCCAUGCUUACAAACAUUAGCACAUGAUUGGGAUAACUAAUGUUUCA